rnacentral:misc_RNA from 1 species
CCAAACUUGGUCAUUUAGAGGAAGUAAAAGUCGUAACAAGGUUUCCGUAGGUGAACCUGCGGAAGGAUCAUUACCGCUUGCUCGACGGCCCGCCCCCUUGGGGGUGGAGCCGCGGCAUUGCACAACCCUUGCCUAUGUCUACCAUCCGUUACUCCCUCGGCGGGCUUCCCCCCGCCGAAGGACACCCAACCAAACCCUUUUUAAUAGCAUCAAAAUCUCUGAAGCAAACAAAACUAUUACAACUUUCAACAAUGGAUCUCUUGGUUCUGGCAUCGAUGAAGAACGCAGC